rnacentral:rRNA from 1 species
AUGCCUAACCUCUACAGCUGCAUCCCCAAGCGACGACGGACGACGAGAACCGUGGCGGACGGACUCAAUGGCAACUCCUGGGCACGCGACAUCCAAGGCAACCUCGGCCUCCAUGAGAUUGGUCAGUAUCUACAGCUCUGGCAGAUCAUGCAGCGCACCGAGCUCUCCACCACACCGGACAGGUUGAUCUGGAGAUGGACGGUGAGCGGCACCUAUUCCGCGCAGUCCUGUUACACGGCCACCUUCCAUGGAUCAACGGGCUGCCAUUCCUGGAAGCUAAUCUGGAAGUGCUGGGCGCCGCCGCGAGUCAAGUUCUUCCACUGGUUAGCCAACCAGGACCGCUGCUGGACGGCAGAGAGGUUGGCUCGCCACGGUCUCCAACAUCAUCCCCGCUGCCUCCUAUGUGACCAGCAGCCGGAGACGAUGCGACAUCUGCUGCUGGAAUGCCCCCUAGCCCGACAGGCAUGGCACGAGAACCUGGCCUAG